AUUAUACUAGAUCAUGUUGUCCUUUCUUUCUCUUUUCAUUCAGUGCCAGGGUUUUGUUCUGUAUGAUGCCUCAGUGCCAACAAGCACUCCUUGAAUGGUGCAAUCAGGCAAAGCUCUGCUGAUUUCAUGCAAAACAUGUUGAUUCUCACCACUGGAAUGGCUCUGGUGAAUAACAAUGGUGUGGAUGGCAUGAAUGCAUUCUGAGAACAGAAGGUGUGAUUGUAACUAAAUUGGAGCAGUUAAAUAGGGAGCAUCUCACAAAGAUUGUGCACUGGCUAAAUGGACCUGCCAUGACAAAUGGCACACAAGUGUCACUGCAGGAAUGAGUGACUUCCCAGCUAGGAAGACAUCUGAAGUCUGUGCAUAUUUGAAAACUAGUUCCUGUUUACUGGAAUUUUACUACUCUCAAGUAAUUUUCAAAAGCCUUUCAUCACAG
rnacentral:lncRNA from 1 species